rnacentral:misc_RNA from 1 species
AGUGGUAGUAAUUUAACAAUAAAAUCUGCCAAUAAUUUACCAAAUGAUCAAUGGCUAUUAGCUAUCAACUAAACCAAUUGAGCCCUAAAUAACAACAGUUAAAUCAACAUUUGUCUCCUAUCUUAAUCUAGCUCAUCAAUAUCAUAGAAAUUCAAUUUUUCAUCAGCUAAAAUACAUAGAAAAAUGCCAAGAAGACAACAAUA